ACAUGCAGUCGAGGGGUUAUGUUGUAGCAAUAUGAUAUAACGACCGGCGCACGGGUGCGUAACGCGUAUGCAACCAACCCCGUAGCCUGGGAUAGCCCGGCGAAAGCCGGAUUAAUACCGGAUGAUACAAUGCUGCUGCAUGGCAAUAUUGUUAAAGGGUUACACUACGGGACGGGCAUGCGUUCCAUUAGGUAGUUGGCAGGGUAACAGCCUACCAAGCCAUCGAUGGAUAGGGGUUCUGAGAGGAAGGUCCCCCACACUGGUACUGAGACACGGACCAGACUCCUACGGGAGGCAGCAGUGAGGAAUAUUGGUCAAUGGCCGAGAGGCUGAACCAGCCAAGUCGCGUGCAGGAAGACGGCCUUAUGGGUUGUAAACUGCUUUUAGGCGGGAAUAAUAAGCAUCAUGCGUGGUGCGUUGCAGGUACCGUCAGAAUAAGCAUCGGCUAACUCCGUGCCAGCAGCCGCGGUAAUACGGAGGAUGCGAGCGUUAUCCGGAUUUAUUGGGUUUAAAGGGUGCGUAGGUUGGCGAUUAAGUCAGCGGUGAAAGUUUGUUGCUUAACGACAGAAUUGCCGUUGAAACUGGUUGUCUUGAGUAUGCUUGGGGCAGGCGGAAUGCGGGGUGUAGCGGUGAAAUGCAUAGAUAUUCCGCAGAACUCCGAUCGCGAAGGCAGCUUGCCAAAUCAAUACUGACACUGAAGCACGAAAGCGUGGGUAUCAAACAGGAUUAGAUACCCUGGUAGUCCACGCUGUAAACGAUGAUUACUGGCUGUUUGCCUGUAGAGGUAAGCGGCAAAGCGAAAGCGUUAAGUAAUCCACCUGGGGAGUACGCCGGCACGGUGAAACUCAAAGGAAUUGACGGGGGCCCGCACAAGCGGAGGAACAUGUGGUUUAAUUCGAUGAUACGCGAGGAACCUUACCCGGGAUUGAACGCAGGGGAAUUACUGUGAAAGCGGUAAGCCAGCAAUGGUCGCCUGCGAGUGCU
rnacentral:rRNA from 1 species